AACGAACGCUGGCGGCAGGCUUAACACAUGCAAGUCGAGCGCCCCGCAAGGGGAGCGGCAGACGGGUGAGUAACGCGUGGGGAUCUGCCUAGAGGUACGGAACAACACGGGGAAACCCGUGCUAAUACCGUAUACGUCCUUCGGGAGAAAGAUUUAUCGCCAUUAGAUGAACCCGCGUCUGAUUAGCUAGUUGGUGAGGUAACGGCUCACCAAGGCGACGAUCAGUAGCUGGUCUGAGAGGAUGAUCAGCCACACUGGGACUGAGACACGGCCCAGACUCCUACGGGAGGCAGCAGUGGGGAAUAUUGGACAAUGGGCGCAAGCCUGAUCCAGCCAUGCCGCGUGAGUGGUGAAGGCCUUAGGGUUGUAAAGCUCUUUCGCUGGGGAAGAUAAUGACGGUACCCAGAGAAGAAGCCCCGGCCAACUUCGUGCCAGCAGCCGCCGUAA
rnacentral:rRNA from 1 species